AUUGAACGCUGGCGGCAGGCUUAACACAUGCAAGUCGAGCGAGCGGCGGACGGGUGAGUAAUGUCUGGGAAACUGCCUGAAGGAGGGGGAUAACUACUGGAAACGGUAGCUAAUACCGCAUACCAUCAGAUGUGCCCAGAUGGGAUUAGCUAGUAGGUGGGGUAAUGGCUCACCUAGUCGACGAUCCCUAGCUGGUCUGAGAGGAUGACCAGCCAAACUGUAACUGAGACACGGUCCAGACUCCUACGUGAGGCAGCAGGGGGGAAUAUUGCACAAUGGGCGCAAGCCUUAUGCAGCCAUUCCGCGUGUAUGGAGAAGGCCUUCGGGUUGUAAAGUACUUUCAGCGGGGAGGCGUUACCCGCAGAAGAAGCACCGGCUAACUCCGUGCCAGCAGCCGCGGUAAUAC
rnacentral:rRNA from 1 species